UUAAAACUAUUUAAAUGCAAAGAGAAAAAAAAAUAUGACUGAAACUUUAAAGUUUGUGUGUGUUAUGUUUCUAUUUCUUUCCAUAUUUCUUGUCACCAUAGUAACUGAUUGUAGCUCUCCAAUUAGAGUAACUGAUGUGUCUCGUCCUUGUACAACGGAUAAAGAUUGUUCAAAAGUGGAAUAUGGGUAUAAACUUAGGUGUCGUAAAGGCCGAUGUGUACAUAUACCAAGAUAGUUGUACAAUAUAUAUUUUCUAGAAUAUUCCUCAAGCUCUAAUAUAUUAUUUGUGCAUGCACCCAAUAACUGUAUUUUUUAUCUAUAAUUUCAUGGACCUUGUAUUUA